rnacentral:rRNA from 1 species
ACGGGAGGCAGCAGUGGGGAAUAUUGCACAAUGGGGGGAACCCUGAUGCAGCGACGCCGCGUGAGUGAAGAAGUAUUUCGGUAUGUAAAGCUCUAUCAGCAGGAAAGAAAAUGACGGUACCUGACUAAGGAGCCCCGGCUAACUACGUGCCAGCAGCCGCGGUAAUACGUAGGGGGCAAUCGUUAUCCGGAUUUACUGGGUGUAAAGGGAGCGUAGACGGUAAUGCAAGUCUGAAGUGAAAGCCCGGGGCUCAACCCCGGAACUGCUUUGGAAACUGUAAUACUGGAGUGCAGGAGAGGUAAGUGGAAUUCCUAGUGUAGCGGUGAAAUGCGUAGAUAUUAGGAGGAACACCAGUGGCGAAGGCGGCUUACUGGACUGUAACUGACGUUGAGGCUCGAAGGCGUGGGGAGCAAACAGGAUUAGAUACCCUGGUA